rnacentral:pre_miRNA from 1 species
CGGGGGAGGCCGGAUCUGGGCUGUAUCCCGGUGCCCUGUGCUCCGGGGCCUGCGCUGUUGGAUUCGCGCUCCCGCCCCGCAGCCCCUU